CACUCCUACGGGAGGCAGCAGUGGGGAAUUUUGGACAAUGGGCGAAAGCCUGAUCCAGCAAUGCCGCGUGCAGGAUGAAGGCCUUCGGGUUGUAAACUGCUUUUGUACGGAACGAAAAAGCUCCUUCUAAUACAGGGGGCCCAUGACGGUACCGUAAGAAUAAGCACCGGCUAACUACGUGCCAGCAGCCGCGGUAAUACGUAGGGUGCGAGCGUUAAUCGGAAUUACUAGGCGUAAAGCGUGCGCAGGCGGUUAUGUAAGACAGAUGUGAAAUCCCCGGGCUCAACCUGGGAACUGCAUUUGUGACUGCAUGGCUAGAGUACGGUAGAGGGGGAUGGAAUUCCGCGUGUAGCAGUGAAAUGCGUAGAUAUGCGGAGGAACACCGAUGGCGAAGGCAAUCCCCUGGACCUGUACUGACGCUCAUGCACGAAAGCGUGGGGAGCAAACAGGAUUAGAAACCCCAGUAGUCCC
rnacentral:rRNA from 1 species